rnacentral:lncRNA from 1 species
CCACAGGUUCCAUCUUUUUUUUUUUUAAUUUUAAUUUUAUUUUAGAGAGAGUGAGCACGAGCAGUGGGAGGGGCAGAGGGAGAGAGAGAGAAUCUCAAGUGGGCUCCACGUUCCGCAUGGAGCUCAAUGCAGGGCUCGAUCCCACGACCCUGGGAUCAUGACCUGAGCUGAAAUCAAGAGUCAGACACCCUGUCAACUGAGCCACCAAGACACCACAACAGGUUCCAUCUUGCUCUUCAGUCUUAUUUCUUUCCUUCAUUCUGUUUUGCAGCUUCUAGCCACCCCCCUGUACCCGUUCCCAAGUUGGAAGGCAGUGGCACUGCUUGCAGACAAUGUUCAGAAUAUGAGGUGACUUCUUUUGAUAUAAUGAAUCCAGAAAUGGCAAACUCAGAUGCCUGUCCAUCAGAGUCAGGCAGUUAACUUGUGUGUGUGUGACAGGCUGGGGACACCUGAAGAAAGAGCACAGCCAUCCCUUAGGUGUCAGUUGCUAUGAGGAAAUCCUGGUGCUAUCGCAUCUUUUUUAAUGCUUUUAUUUUUAAGGAGAAGCCCAUGUCAGGAUUUUACAUGAAAUCUCUGGCUUUAAAUUUGGCAAUUAAUGCACGUUUGUAAUUGAAACUGUUCUGUCUAGAAAGAACAAAGGCUCAAGUUUGUGAGCCCGCCAAGGAGAAGUCAGGGUAUAAAAUUGGGGAACAAAAGUAACCCCUGCUACCAGAGGGGCAAAGAGACAUGUACAGAAAGAACAUAAGCUGUGGUUUUAGACAGACUUGGGUUUGAAUCUCAGGUCUAUCACUACUCCUCUGUGAUCCUGUUCAAAUUACUUUAUCUCUGAGCUUCAAAACCUUCAUCUGAAAAACGUGAAGACCAAAGGAAGAAUGUGGAUACAGUGCCUAGCACAAAACAGGUGCUGAAGUAUUUCUGCAAUCCUAUGAGUAGACCUCAUGACAUGGCAUCACAUCUGGAGUCCCAGGAAGCGUCACAUCUGGAGUCCCAGGAAGUAGAGUCUUCUGAAAAAGUCACAGAGGAAGGAAAGAUGUCAAAGAGACGUGUCAUCCAUUUUAUGAAAGAAGACGCUCUGGACUAAACUGUGUUCCCCUAAAAUGGAAAUGUUGAAGCCCUGACCCACCCCCUGCGAGACUGGAUUUGGAAAAAGGGCUCUUAGGAGGUAAUUAAGGUUAAAUGAGGUCCCAAAGGUGGUAUCCUAAUCUGGUAGGAUUGGUGGUUGUAUAAGAAGAGGGAGAGAAAGAGAAACAGAUACCCAUCUAGGAAAGGCUGUCUGAGCACACAGUGAGAAGGCUGCUGCAGCUAGGAAGUGUGGCGUCACUAGAACGUGACCACGCUGAUACCCUGAUGUCAUACUUCUAGGUUCCAGAACUGUAAGAAUAUACAUUUCUAUUGUUGAAGAUACACAGUCAAUGCCAUAUUAUUAUGGCAACCCAAGGAGAUUAGUACAGAAGAUACACUUGGUAGCAUGGGGGUCUGUAUCUGGGUUCUCAUUCUGAUUAUACCACCCUUCGCUCUUGUGGUUCUAGAAGUUUCAGGAGACCUCACUUUCCUGUCUACAGCAUGAAGGAGUGAGACUGGCUGACUCCGAAGAUAUUUUUUAAUCUUUUAAAUCUUUGAUUCUAAUUACAUAAAAUGCACUGCUUUGCAGGGGCUUGGGUGGCUCAGUCAGUUAAGCGUCGGACUCCUGGUUUCAGCUGAGGUCAUGAUACCAGUUUCAUGAGUUCGAGCCCCACAUCUGGCUAUGCAUUGGCAGCAUACAGCCUGCUUGGGUUCUCUCUCUCUCCCUCUCUGCCCCUUGUCUGCUCACUGUCUCCCUCAAAAUAAAUAAGCUUAAAAUUUUUUUUUAAAUAAAAUUCACUGCUUGGUUGAAUAUCAUAUAACAUUGAGCUGGAGGCAAACUUAAAGGCCUUUUUUGCCUAACUCUCCCAUUGAGUGGAAGAGGAAACUAAGGCCCCAGUAGAUUAAGUGGAACCUUUCCCAGUGUCACACUGAUACUCCUGCCAGUGCCCAGACAUGUAGUCUCUUCGUUGUUCCUCCUUCUGUUAUGCUGCUUUAGUGGGAUGCCAGCUGUUAAACGGGAAUAAUGUUUUCUAUCAUGGAACUAUUUCAUUGGGAAAAUGCAGUGAGUUAGAAAAUACCAAGAUUUUCAGAAUAAGGAAUUUUUUAUUGUAUUGUGGUGACUUACGAUAAAAGUAUCUUAUGAAUGUUUUGAAGUUACCUAUUGCAU